rnacentral:rRNA from 1 species
UGGGCUUCUUUGCUGACGAGUGGCGGACGGGUGAGUAAUGUCUGGGAAACUGCCUGAUGGAGGGGGAUAACUACUGGAAACGGUAGCUAAUACCGCAUAACGUCGCAAGACCAAAGAGGGGGACCUUCGGGCCUCUUGCCAUCGGAUGUGCCCAGAUGGGAUUAGCUAGUAGGUGGGGUAACGGCUCACCUAGGCGACGAUCCCUAGCUGGUCUGAGAGGAUGACCAGCCACACUGGAACUGAGACACGGUCCAGACUCCUACGGGAGGCAGCAGUGGGGAAUAUUGCACAAUGGGCGCAAGCCUGAUGCAGCCAUGCCGCGUGUAUGAAGAAGGCCUUCGGGUUGUAAAGUACUUUCAGCGGGGAGGAAGGGAGUAAAGUUAAUACCUUUGCUCAUUGACGUUACCCGCAGAAGAAGCACCGGCUAACUCCGUGCCAGCAGCCGCGGUAAUACGGAGGGUGCAAGCGUUAAUCGGAAUUACUGGGCGUAAAGCGCACGCAGGCGGUUUGUUAAGUCAGAUGUGAAAUCCC